GGUUGCGGGUUUGCGCCGACUGACUCUUAAUCAGCGGGUCCCAGGUUCGAGCCCUGGUGCGCCCACCA
rnacentral:tRNA from 1 species